rnacentral:rRNA from 1 species
UACGUAGGGUGCAAGCGUUAAUCGGAAUUACUGGGCGUAAAGCGUGCGCAGGCGGUUGUGCAAGACAGAGGGGAAAUCCCCGGGCUUAACCUGGGAAUGGCCUUUGUGACUGCACGGCUAGAGUGUGUCAGAGGGGGGUAGAAUUCCACGUGUAGCAGUGAAAUGCGUAGAGAUGUGGAGGAAUACCGAUGGCGAAGGCGGCUUCCUGGCCUGUUCUUGACGCUGAGGCGCGAAAGCUAGGGGAGCAAACGGG